rnacentral:lncRNA from 1 species
AAUGAGAAAAAUUUCAGAGAAAAAUGACGUUAAUGGGGCCGCGUGUCUUUAUUAAGUAAAGAUAGCGCGGGCAAAUAAAUAUUUUAAAUAUUAUGAGGACACCGUCUUGGAGUACAAACUUUAUAAUUUGUUUGUGCAUGUGUAGAAGAAGAUAAUAGAAGAAAAUUGGAGUUAAAUGAGUGUUGGGAGGACUAAAUUAAAAUGGAAAGAAACUAAAAGGGCAAAACGAUAAUUUUACAUGAAGUUUGGUCAAAGCUUCCAAAGAAAGCUUUGACUUUGAUUUUUUAGGCCAAGAUCGACCUUAUCCUUUCCCCCACCAGAUUUUUCUUCUUCUUCAUCCAUGCUCCAUGCCAUUCUUGAUGCUUCCAUGCCAUUUUCUCUUUAUCCACCAUGAAAUCAAGUUUUCUUCACUUUCUUUUCCAUGUUUUCUUUUCCUUUCUUCUCCAAACUUCUUGAGCACUAAAUUUACAGCCUUUAACCCCAAUUUCUAGCACAUCUAAACCCUAGGAAGAGAAGAAAGAAAAAGAGAGAAAGGAAGAAAAAAGCUUGGUUUUGGUGAUUCAAGCAAGGAACGGUAAGAAUUCUUGUUCUUGGCUUGAGUAGUUUUUGAAAUGAGUUAGUGACUUAGAGAAAUGUCUUGUGGUAGCAAAGAUUGGCUUGAUUGGAGAAAAAUUGAUAACAUGUAAGCCAAUAAACCCAUGGGUACAUGAAGGACUCAAAGUGGAAAAGAAAACGGAAGUGCAAAGAUAAGGUUGGAGUACUAUGGUGGCGUGCUGGAGUAAACAUCAAGCGACCGAACAGUGAAAAUAAUUAGAGACACCUCCGAUCAAAUAGCGAUGUAAUAUCCCGUUAUCAUAAGGUGAGUGAACUUGCCAAAAAUGUUUUAGGAGUAAGGCACAUGUGGUUCAUUGAGACAUUUUAAUUGUUUUUCUAUAAAAAGGCAUGGGAACAAGCCUUUAGUGAAAUGUUUUUGUGAUGUGGAAUAUGAUUAUGAUGAAUCUAUGUACCUCUAUAUGAUACUGAUAUAUACAUAUAAAAAAAUAGUAAAAUAUGAUAUGUAUUGUUAAGUAUUUUUGUGUAAUUGAUGUAACCGUGCAUGUGCGAAGUGGGCAGUGCACAUGCUGAUUGAAUGACAAUGUUGUGACAAUUAAGACCAUGUAUGUGUGGAGUGGGCAGUGCACAUGCCAGUUGAAUGACAAUUGUAAAACCCGACCCUAUAAAUACAUGUCAUAACAUACAUGCACUGAGUAGCAUGUUAUUAUGCUAGGAAAGUUCCUAAGAAUAGAUGAAACCCGAUAUUGUACCUAACGGUACACUUGAAUUGAUUUAACCUCGAACUAGUUCAAAUAGGAAUCGUAGGAUGAAAUUUAACAUUUUAUAGUCAAGGAAUGACUAAAAAUGAUUGUUCGGAGUUCGAGGGUUCAUUUGGGGAAAAAUUGAAAAUUUUGAUGUUUAGGGGCAAAAUCGUAAUUUUUCCACCCAUGGACAAAAUUUGAGAUUUUGAGAGAAUUUAGAUCAAAUUUGACAAAUUGGAGAAUGGUAUGAGUAUAAGGGAUGAAAAAUAUGUCUAUGGGCAAUUUUUCAAUUUUUGGGACAAAAAUAUAAUUUUUGACUUUUAUUGGGGCAAAAGUGUAAAUUUUAAAAAUUACUCCACCAAGACUUUGGAUAAGCCUGAGAAUUUUAUCUAAGCUAUGGAUAUGUGGGACAAGUGUAUGGUGAAAAUUUUGAAACAAAUGGAUGAAAUUUUCAAAACGGACCAAUUGGAAAGUGACACAUGGCAUUUUUUAAAAAUGGUUUAAUAUUAUUUUAAUGAAAAGUCAGCCCAUUUAAACCCAAAUUUUAAGUGCUGGCCGGCCAUAAGGAAGAACAAGAGAGGAAAUAGAGAGGAAAGGAAGAAAAAAAGAAAAACCAAAGAGAAACAAGAAAAUUCAAAGGGAAAUUCGCGGUUUUCGACCGUUUACGCGUCUAACGGUAAGAUUUUUCGAUUUUAGCUUGAUUUCUACCUUUCCUAUGCCUUUAUUUCCAUUUAGCAUGCUUGAGGAGAGAGAUCAAAAAGUGAUAUCAAGGGCUGGACGAAAUUCUAGGGGAGAGAAAUUGAAAUUUUUAGGUUUUGAUUUUUAGUUAAAUUGAUAGUUUUAGUUAGUUAAAUGUGUUUAGAAAUUAAAUUGGGCAAGAAAUCAUUAAAUUUUCACAAUACCCACUCUUGGCUGGAUGCUCAAUGCUGUACAAUGAUGAUGAAUUGAUUUUAUUCUAAGGGAAAUGAAGAGAAAAUGAUGAAAAACGAUUAAACGUGAUAGAAAAACAAAGUAGAAAAUUAACCGAGUUAAUGUCCCAUUUUUGGCCGAAUUUUCCAAGGAAGGGAGUGAGCUGAUUUUGUUGUUUUUAGAAGGUUAUUGGCUGAUAUUUAAUGGUUAGAAAUGUUGGAGAGAGAAUGGGAUGAUUUAGAGCUAAAAUGGAGCGCGUUAGCAAUUUAUCGGGCAAAGUGCCAAAAAUAGGUUAAUACCGCGUUUAAGCCGUUUUAGGCUAUUGCAUUUCAUACCAUGCAUUAGUAUAGGAUUUAAGUUAAUUAUAUAGUGAUUUAGCAUCAAUGUGAUGAAUUGUGUAAAUUUUUGUAAUGUGUCUAGGAGGAGAGCCUUCCGGAAAAGGCAAAGAAGUCGUACCCGACGAGUAGUGAUCGGGGCGCUUAGAAAGCUUUUAGUUUGUACAAACGGUGAGUAAACUUAUUAUUAUUGUAAAUUAUCUAGAGUUUAUUUUAAAUGCCCUUUAUGUAUUUUAUGAAAUGAGAACGAGAUUAAAACGGGAUUUUUGAUGUUUUAGGAAUAAAUGUGACAAAUAAAAAUAUAUUGUAUUGAUUAUGAAAUUGAGUAAUUGGAGGCUACAAAUUGACUUGAAAAAUAUAUAUUUUCCUAGGAAUGGCUUAUGAGAAAUGAGUAUAUGUGGCUAUAUUUUGUGAGUGCUUUGGGAAAUUUAUGUAAGUUGGUUUUACUAUGCAGGCUGGAUAAAUAAAUAAAAGCCACGUUAUACUGUCGAAAUUUUAUUAAAAUUGGUGGGUUAGUCACUGCAGUGACGGGUUUCCGUGGACUGCCUAUUAGAGGGGCACGGUAAACCCAGUUAUAUAGUUACUCCGGUUGUAGAGGCGAGGAGGGUAACUCCCGGGGUAGUAUUAGAGCUCACUUCACGUCGAACCCCCACGUGAAUGUGUAACUCGGCCAACGCCAAGGAACGGCUGGUUUUAAAAAUAAAAAUGUGUUUCACGUGUGAAUAUUUUAACACCCUUGGCGGACUCGGUUAGAUGCCUCGGCCAAGGUAUCCCCGAGGAUUAGUUUUGGCUUGAGCCUUUUUUUAAUAAAAGACAUAAGCCUUAACAACUGUUUUGGUAAAUUACAAAUAUUUUAUGGUUUAAGAAAUAAAUUGAAAACCUUAUGAAAUGGUUUGUAAUUUGUUGUUUAAACUUGCCUCCAUGUUACUCGCCUUUAGAUAUUUAUGAUAAUGUCUGUUUACUCAUUGGGAUUGCAAAAUCUCACCCACCUCCUUUCCAAACAUUUCAGGUCUGUGGUAGCUUGUAGAUACCCUAUUUUGUCGAGGAUUCCAGUUGACAUCUCUACCACACAGACAGUAGGUUUCUAGCACCAACACUGGGUGUAUUUUGGGCCACUUGUCAUUGUAACCAUUAUUGUACAUUAUAACUUUGUAAAUUUUUGUAUGUGUGAAUUUAUUUUACUUACACGUUACAAAAGAUUUCUUACACGUGUUUCUAUAAAUAUUGUUUUAUAUAAAAAAAUACUAUAUUUUAAUCAAUAUUUUGAAUAGUGAUAUUUAUCUAUAAAUCCUUUUAAAAUAUUUUUGUCUUUUGAUUUACUUGAGCAGGAAACUACUGGAAAUUGUUUAAAAUGGAAUGUUUAAAAACAAUUGCUCACAGAAACGGCAAGAAACUGAUAUGUAAGCCUUGCAGGGUUCUGAUUGGCAUUUCGGGUAAUGAGUGUCAAUUGAGACGUCGCGACGGUUGUCAUGGGCCCGAGGGAGGUUCCGGGUCGCGACAACAAUGUUGUAACAAUUACAACCGUGUAUGUGCGGAGUGGGCAGUGCACAUGUCGACUAUGAUAUGCGUGCAGGGAGUGCACGUUGGCUGAGUGAGGUGGUGGUAUUCGUGUUUAUAUAUAUAUAUAUAUAUAUGUACAUGUGUAAUAGAAGGUUUAUGAAUAUAGUACGUGGUUGUAAUGUAUGUGGAAUCUUGCAUGUUGAACAUUGAAAGUUGUUAAGUAUUUUCAAAUUGAUGUUUAUUGCAGCGAAAAAUGUGCUGUCACGUUGCUACCUUGCUUGGGUUCUGAUAUAAUUUUUUUUCACUCCUCUAUCUUCACGAUUGAGCAUGGGUCUUUGCAACAUUAAGAGUUUACUAAUCAAUGUUCGAAACAAGGGGUUUAAGAAAGAAAUUAAACUAAAUUGCAUUUUUUUCAAAACAAGUACAUCAAGAUUUCUAAACCUUCCUUAACGCUGCUUGUUCCCUUCCUAUGUUCACUAACUGAGUUUGUACUCAUGUUUUCAAAAUUCAUGUUUUAGGUUUCCUAAGUCAAAGGUGGUUGGAUCCUGGGAUGAGGUGUUUCUCCCUAUCCAUAGCUCAGUAGGUUUACCAUGACAUUAAAUGUUAGCAAUUGUGUCCAGAGUCACUCUGCUGACGGUCAAGUUCUAAUUAAGUGUAUAUGAAUACUUGUUGUGGAAUGAUGAGGUUCAUUUGUUAAACUAUAUAUGUGUAUUAUGGUUGAUGAUGCCAUUCUGAAUAUCAUAAUUGGGUUUUAUGAAUUGUUUUCAAAGGGACUAUAUUUGAACAUUAUGAAUCUUGGAUUUUAAAGGGAUAUGAAUUACUGUAUAAGAUUAUACAAAGAGGCUUUCUUGGGCUUAGUGGGCUAAGCCCAUUGGGCCCUCGCACCGGUCAUGGCCCAGAAAUUGGGCUGUGACAAAUACAUACUAGGAUAUUUAUAUAUACAUAAUACAAUGAAAAGUCUUUUUAAAACUUGGGUUCAUUCACAACUCAUUUACAUUUAUAAAAUAGUAUUGGAGAAACAUAUUCAUCAUCAAACUAUUCAAAUCAUGCUUUCAACUUUACAUACUAAAAUAGUUUGAAAGUGGUGUACCCACUCGUACCCACUCAUGUCAAAAAGUUGACUAUAAUCAACAAGCACAACUUACUCCAGCAAAUUCCUUUGAGUUUCAAUUGUUCUUAAACAUCCAAUAAUCCUUGCAAUCAAUAAUUAGUAUAGGAAUCAAGGACUAAGCAUACUAAGUCUUUCGAAGCUAGUCAAAUUCAUCUAAACCUAAAUUUUCAACUUAAAUUUACUACUCUUCAAAUAUCCAUAUAUUUAAAGUUCAAAACUCAUCAUUCUUAUCUUAAGUGAGCUCUAAUCAAUGAGGAAAGGUCAUCAAAUCCUUUAAUUUGAAGUAAUCAAUAAAUCUAGAACAUUAAAUAACAUUUUUAGAGCUAGAAACCCAUGAUUUAAAGAUUCAAAGAGUGGAAAAAAAUCACCUUUGCCGUCAAAAAUCAAAAUCUAAGCUUUAAUCUUCCAAAAUGAUGAUCCUUGAUAAAAAUGGGUUGGGAGUGGCUAUGAGGUGAGGGAAAUCUAAUGAAAAUUGGUUUGGAGUGAAAAACCCUCAUAGAAAAGGUCUUAUUUAUACUUUGAAGUGUAAAAAAUACUCAUUUACCCUUUUUUAUUUUUCAAAAAUUGAUGUAAUAUAUCGAGACAUUUGGCCAUGUAUCGAUAGAUUUAGUUAUGGAUGAAAUUUAUCCAUACAUUUGGCCAUGCAUCGAUAGAUGUUCAUCAGAAUCCUUUUAAAUAGCUCUUUACAUGAAAUCUGAUUACUGUCAAAAUUCACAAGAGUUAGGGGUGGUGCUUGUGUCACUUACACAGUUGACCUUAUCUCCAUAUGCAAUUGGAGUCUCACAACUCUUUUGCUACAUGUUUCUAAUAUCAUCAUGCAUAUCAUGACCUCUAAGCUAAAGCAUAAAAUUUAUGUAGUUACUUAUACAAACAAUGUUAGACACCAUUCUAAUGUGACUAUAUUACCACAUGCUAGAAAUAAAAUCAUCACCAUCCAGUAAAAGCUCGAUCAAAUCAGAAAAAUGAAUUGCAUAAAAACAAGAGGCAAAUAUUGAACAUAAUUUCAUGCUAUUUGUUUGAAUCCAUAAAUGAGAGAGAGAUUCAACAUAAUUUUAAAGAUAUACAUGUUUAUGAAUUUACAAAUGCAAACAUAAAUUAUAAUAACAAUUAAGUUAACCAAUAAUAUAGUAAAAAAAAUAAAGGUAAAAUACCCUUACACCCCUAAGUUUUAAUCGAAAUUCCAAAUUGAUCUGUUAGUUUUCAAAAUGGACACUCCACCCCAAAAGUGUAAACAUCGUUAACAAAGAUAAUAAAAGGAACUAAAUGUCCUUUUUUUCAUUAUUAAUUUAAAAAAUUAUUAUUAUAUUUCUUUCAAAAAACAACUAAAAAAAGGGAGCACCGAUCGGUGCUCCCCAGUUCCCCAAUGGAGGGUAGCAAUGAUCGGUGCUCCUCUUUUUUUUAAUUAGUAAAAAACUUAAUAAAAAUUAUGUAAUAGUAAUUUUUAAAAUUAGUAAAGGGUAAAAUUAUCAUUUCAAUAUUGCCAAAUCAUCAAACUAAUGGAAACACUAAAGGUAGACUAACAAUUGGACCUAUGUGUCCAACAAAAGAUAUUUUUUUGAGGUGGAGUGUCCAUUUCGAAAACUAAUGGACUUGCUUGGAAUUUCGAUUGAAACUUAGGGAGUUGGGGUUAUUUUACCAAAAAAAUAAACAUAGAGUUAGAACCAACCUAUACAUCAUGAGACUUUAACUUGAGAUCUCGAGGUACUUAGCUUAGAGAUUCAGAAAUCAUACAAAUAUAUAAAAAAAGAAAUUCUAUUAUAUUAGCAAAUCUCAAAAUUGUUUACACCAAAUAGAACGAUCUCUUUAUUUCAUUUAAAAGUUUUUCUCUAAUAUUUCUUAUCAUUUUUUCCUGUAAAAAUCUCCAAUCCUCACAUUCUCAUACCUUUAGUUAAUUGAAUCAAUCUAUAUUUAUAUGGUUAGAAAUGACUUGCUUAAGAAGAAGCCCUAUCUUUUUUGGUUUUUAUAUAAUGAGACUUUUUUAUCCCUCAUUGGAGUUGCAAAAUAGUUAAUCAGAAGAACUUUGACUCAAAUUGGAUAUCAAUCAAAUAUUUUUAUGACUAAGACUAUUUGACCCAACACUCUUGGCCCUCUUAAUAUCGUAAAAUUUAAAUAAAUAAUUUAAAGAUAAGUUUAUCAACUUAUGACAAAUCAACUUAAUCAUUAAUACAAUAUUUAGCAAAUGAAUUUUUUCGACAUGGCAAAUAUAAAUCAAUGGGUUUAUAUUUGAUACACUGCUGAUGAAUAAUAUGUCGCGUGCUGGAACUUUGGCCUAACCUUGGGUGACCUUAAACUCUAAAAAUAGAGCUUAAGUAUGUUGGUCCCAUAGGUGUGUUAAAGAAGGGUGAAUAGCACUAAAAAUUUUGAAGUCAACCCUUGAGCUUGUAGAACUCUUAAUCAACCAUAAGAGGAAAGGUUUAAAACUUGUUAAAGUUCAAAGACACCAAGUUAGGGAAGGUAAAGAGAAGUGGACAAAACACAAGUAUUUACAGUGAUUCGGUCCCCUUGACCUACAUCCACUACCUUGAUAUCCCAAUCAAGAGUUUUUGACCAAAGUUCACUAAACUAGUGGAAUUAACAGCUUUCACCAAACUUUUUCAAAUUGAGUUUUUAACCCAAGCUCUAAUCCGUUACAAUAAAUCUUAGAGUGCUUCCCACACUCUAAUGAACUAAUAAAAAAGAAAAAAAAAUGAGUACAUGUGAUUUCGCCUUGCUAAUCUGAGAUAAAUACAAUAAUGCUCAAAACCUUUUACAAGAAUAGAAUGGAAAAUAGAGGUGUAAGAAAAGGUUCCUUGGUUUUUUGCUCAAAAUAUGAUCUUGGUAGCUUUUCUUUUGCUUUUUUGACCAUUGGAUCUUUAAUUUAUACUUCGAGAGUCAAAUUUUUUGUUAGAGAUAGUUUCUAGCCAUUAUGAAUGUGUCUGAUGCCAUUCUAGCUGUUAUCUUAUCUUUUCGCAUUCAAAUUCAAAUAGGCAAGCUUUAACUAAUUAAGCUUUCUCUAACUUGCACUGUCUGGCAACUCUAUUCAUUGUGUUAACUAGUUAAAAAAGGUUCUAACCAAUUAAAAACUUUCUGUUUUCAAAGUUCUAUAACCAAUAGACUUCCUUUAAUUGGUUAAUCCUCCCUUUAACUAUUUGAGGAGUUUUUUCCUUCAAAUUUAACUGGUUGAAAUAAACAUUAACCAAUUAAAAUGUCUCCAAAUUUUGCCCUUCUUCAUUUUGGCUCCCUUCAACAGUCAACUUCACUUUGAAUUUAAACUUUGGUGCUUCAAAGUGCUUCAAGUCCUAAGUUUUAACCGAUUAACCUUUUUACUUAAUCAGUUAGCAAGUUCUAUCUUUAGCUUCCAACACCUUUUUAAUCAAUUAAGCUUGGUGCUAACUAAUUAAGCUUUUUUUGCCUUGCUUUUAUAUAGCACCCACAUUUGCCUUAAAAGAUUAAGGCUCUCCAUUAAUCAGUUAAUGGUGUUCUAUUUUCGUUAACCUUUUUUGCUUUCCCUUUUUAACUUAUUAACCCAUCUUUUAAGUAAGCAAGCUUCUUGACUUGCCUUUAAACAUAAAAUUUAUUAAGGGUUUUAAACUUUGUCCUACGCAUUUAAAUAAUGAAGUUAAACACCAAUAAAUAAAGAAUGUUUUGUUAUCAUAAAAAACAUAUGAAGCCAACAAAGUAAGCCUUAAAACCCAUAAAAUAGUGAAACCAAAAGAAAAGAAAAAGAGAAAGCUUUUGAGAAAUAAAAUGCUUUGUAUUUCUUGAAGGUGUAUUACAAAUGACAAAAAAAGGCCUACUUAUAGGUUGAUGGCCCCCUUUGUUAGAUAAGAUUAGGUCACUAGAUAGGGAUAAGAUAGGAUACGAAAAGAGAUUUAAUUUGAAUGGAUAAUAUUCAAAUUAAAUCCAAAUCUUAAUCUAAUCUAGUAAAUAUACAUAUAAACUUAGAUAUACAUUAGCAAAUCCAAGAGUUCAAAUCAUAUUACAUUACAUAGGUUGGGCUUGUUGUUUGGCCUAUUUGGACUACUUAGCCUACUUGGGGUACUUAGCCUACUAGGGCUGCUUAGCCUUCUCAACCUAUUAACUAUUAGGCCAAUUGGCUUGCAAGAACUAGAUUGAACUCUUGGGUUGUGAUGUCCUCUUUUACUCAAUCCAAUAAUGCCCUCGUUGCUAAGAGAUGCAAUGUUACAUUGCGACCAUCCUCUUACACGUUUUUACUCUAAAUAACUUUAUUUUGUGCACUUUUGGCUUCUACACACUUCUUUGGAAUGCAUUGUCUCCUUAGGCACUUGUUGUGGACCAAUCCUUAUAAGCCUCGAUCCCUUGGUCUCACGAGUGCUUGGUUGGUCUUGACGAUUUUGUGUUCAUAUCUUAGGCUUCCUGGCCUUCAUUUGUGACAAUCUCAUCAUUGCUGAUCUUAGUCUUUCUUAAAUCAUACGACAUACCGUUGUCAUUUGUUGCUCUUUUAAGUGCAACACGACACUACGCAAUCUCAAUAUGCUCCUAGCUCCCUCAGUUGUGGAUGUAAGCAUUUCUUGCCACUACACUAUUCUUUCUCCUUUUCCUUAAGUGUGACCGCUCAGCGAGUCCCUUUACACAUUAGUUGUCACUCUCAUUGCCUAGAUCAUCCUUGUCCAUCAUGAUGGCUUUAAGGUUUUUUCACAUGGGUCAAUCUCUUAUCUAGUGUGAUUCUUCACACAAGAAACAUUUAAGAGGCUUUUUUUCCUUACCCUUCCACUUGGUGAUUGCCUUGGUCUGAUGGCGUGGUGAUUUUUUGUCAACCACUUCCUCUAACCCACUAUCUUUCUCUUUCCCACCGUUGCCUUUUUUCUUAGGCUUGGAGAAGAAAAGAUUAUUGUUGAACUUAUGCAAAUCUACCAAUGAUUCCACCACGGUCAUAGCCUCUAUCACAUUCUGCACACUUCUCCUUUGUUGUUUCAACUUGGCCCAUGGUUUGAGCUUAUCCAUAAACGAAAAUAGUGCUUCCUUUUUACCAAGAUCAUUAAUUUGUUACAAUAAUUUAGAGAAUUGUUUUACAAAUUCUUUUGCCUCACCUUAUUGGGUAAGCCUCCACCAUUUGGCCCACGCCUCGUUGUUUGUGUACUCAAGGUAAAAUUGCUUCUGAAACUCCCUCUAGAAUUUUGCUCCAAUGCUAAUGGUUGAUCCCUCAAGCUUCUUAUCGCACCUAUGUCUCCACCAUAGCAAGGCAAUGUCCAUCAAAUACAUGGCUACGAAAUUAAUUCGUAAAGCAUCCUCUAUGAUGCCUAUGGUUUUGAAGUAUUGUUCCAAGCUCUAUAGGAACAUCUCCUUGGCUUCUCUCUUACCUUGGAAUUCUUUGGGCUUAGCCAUCUUCAAAUGAGUCCCCAUUGAGUGGCCAGUGCAACACCUUUUGUCAUUGCCUCUAAUGCAACAAGCUUGUCCCUAAACCCCUAUACAACCUAUUUCAACAACUUGACCAGCUCCUCCAAUGCCUUAUGUCGAUGGUUUAACGUCUCCACUAUCUCAUACAACUCUUUGACCCCUAACUAAUCCAUGUUGGCCUCGAACUCCUUGAGUUUGUCCCUUGUCUCUCCCACGACCAUCUCCACUCUAGCUACUCGACCUUCGAGAAAAGACAUCAUGUCCCUCAACUUACCUCAUUUAAUUGCACCACUAGUCUCUUAACUUGCUAGACUAGUGCGAACUGGUUCUCUAUCAAUGCCAUUUCUCUUUUCCUCUAACCUGGGCUUUGAUACCAGCUGUCAUGUUCUAGAACUUAAGUCUAACCUCAAGUGAUCUUAAGCUUUGAAAUAGAGCUUAAGUAAGACUUACAACCUAUAAAAUAGCAGAGCAAAAGAAAAGAAAAAGAGAGUGCUUUUCGGAAAUAGAAUGCUUUGUAUUUCUCUAAGGUGUGUUACCAAUGAGGAGAAGGGGUAUAUUUAUAGGCUGAUGGUCUCCUUUGUUAGAUAAGAUUAUGUUACAAGAUAGAGACAAGAUAGGAUAAGAUAAUAGAUUUAAUUUAAAUAGAUAAUAUUCAAAUUAAAUCCAAAUCUAAAUCUAAUAUAGUAAAUCGACAUCUAAACUUAGAUAUACAUUAGCAAAUUCAAAGGUUUAAACCAGAUUACACUAUGUGGGCUAGGCUUGUUGUUUGAUCUAUCUGGCUGCCUAGCCUGCUUGGGCUGCUUGGCCUCCCUAGACUACUUAUUCUACUUAAGCUGCUAACUGUUGGGCUAAUUUGUCACAGCCCAAUUUCUGGGCCAUGACCUGCGCAAAGGCCUAAUGGGUUCAGCCCAGUGAGCCCAAGCAAGCCUAUUUAUAUAAUCUUGUACAUUAAUCCAUAUGUCUUUAAAAUCCAAAAUUUCUAAUGUUCAAAUAUAAUUCCUUUGAAAACAAUUCAUAAGACCCAAUUAUGUAUUCAUAAUGGCAUCAUCAACCAUAAUAUACAUAUAUAGCUUGACAAAUGAGCCUUAGUAUUUCACAUCAAGUAUUCAUAUACACAUAAUUAGACAUUGACUGUCAACGGAGUGACUCUGGGCACAGUUGCUAACAUUUAGUGUCAUGGUAAACCUACUGAGCAAUGGAUAGGGAGGAGCACCUCAUCCUAGGACUCAAUCACCUUUAACUUAAAAAACCUAAAACAUGAAGUUUAAAAAUGUGAGUAUAAACCCAAUGAAUGAACAUAAGAAGGGAACAAGCAACAUUAAGGAAGGUUUAGAAAUCAUGAUGCACUUAAGUUCAAAAACAAUGCAAUUUAGUUUAUUUCUUAUUAAAAACCCCUUAUUCAGACCCUUGGUUGUUUAGUCACUUGAUGAUGAAGGAUCCAUAAACAACAAAGAAGUUGAUGGGUGAAAACUUAAGUAGGAUUCAAGCAAGUCAAACAUAAUAGAUUGAUUCUCGCCACAGUGAAAAGGCAUUCUCGCUGUAACAAAAUUCUGGCUAGAUAAAAUCUAAGGGGUUUUCACUGCCACAAGGAAAGUCCACUCAUGCCACAUUGUACAUUAAAUCAAGCACAUUGACAAUAAUCAAGUUUUCUCAAUAUUCAAUACAGUCACAUAUUAUUUUCAUAACUUUUUCUAUAGCAUAUAAAAAACAUAGUUAUAGCAUAUAUAUAUACCAGCAUGUAUACAACCACCACCUCACCUAUCUCAUGUGCACUUCGCACCGCACAUAGCCAGAGUCAUCAUGUGCACCCCCACAUCAUGCACAACUAAUGCCAUCAUGUGCUCCCCCCACAUCCCGCACAUGGCACAUAUAUCAUCAUCAUCGUGUUCACCCCCACAUCGCGCACAACUAAUGCCAUCAUGUGCUCCCCCCACAUCACGCACAUGGCAUGUAUCAUCAUCAUCAUGUGCACCUCCACGUCGUGCACAACUAAUGCCAUCAUGUGCUCCCCCCCCCCCCCACUCAGGCACAUAGGCAAUCUCAUCAUCCAUACUCCCUCACAUUGUUAUCACUGGCAUGUGCACUCCUACACCGCACAUGCAUGGUCAUAAUUAUCAACACACAACAUAUAUAUAUAUAUAUAUACCAACAAAAUAAAAUAGCACAUGGAUUUGUCACAGUCACAUUCCAUAACGUAACAAUGUUUCAUCAAGGGCUUGUUCCCAUUCAUAUUUUAAAGAAAAGGCCAAUAAAACAUUUCAUGAAAUUCAUUCAAACACAUACGCUUUAAUCCCAAAACAUUUUAAUGCAAGUUCACUCACCUCAAUAAUGGCAACACACAAAACUAACGUCCACAAGGUCUUAAUCCUGGCAGUCUCGAAAUACCAUUAAAACCUAUAUUUACCAAUAAACCAUAAUGAUCUUAAUCAAGUCAUAAAUUAUAUCUAAUAAUUCUAAUAAAUUUACAUUAGGCAAUCUACCCUCUAACCGAACAUUUAACCUACAUUUCUAGUCUAAUUCUUAAACCCAUCAUAUCAACUAUUCCAACUGUAAAGAUUCUUUACCUUGGUAAGCUUGAAGGCAUGAAGAUCAACAAAAACCUAAUAUUUCCAAGAAAAAUAACUUGAAGAAAUUGGAAAAUAAAAUCUGAAAAUAUAAACAUAAAUUCAAAACUUUCAAAAGUUGGAAAUAUAUACCUUUCAGCCUUAAAAAUGAAGAUUUGAAGCCAAAAAUCCAAGUGUUGUUAAAAGUGAAGUAGAAAUAGAAAAUAAAGGAACGAAAGAGAGAUUUUUCUUUCUCUUUUCUAUGGUUUAGAAGUGCUGAAAAUUGGGGUUAGAAGUUGUAGGUUUGGUGCCCAAGAAGUUUGGAGAAGAAAGGAGUAAGAAAAGCAAAAAAAUGAAAAGAAAACAAGGAAAAUCACAUGAAAAUUUUGAUUUUCAUGGAGGUGGAAUGAAAAUGGCAUGGGAAGGAUGAGGAAGAAGAAGAAAAUAUCUGGUGGGAGAGGGUAAGGAUGGUCAUGGCUGAAAAAGAAAGGAGUCAAAGCUUCCUUGGGAAGCUUUAACCAAGCAAAUGGUAAAAUUAUCAUUUUACCUUCCAAGGUUUUCACCCUUUUUAAUUGUAUCCUCCCAUAAUCAUUUAAUUCCAAUUUCUUUCCAUUUUUCUUCCUUAACACUUGUACUAAUAAAAUAUCAAGUUUAUGCUCUAAUGCGGUAUCAUCGAAAUAUUUAAAUAUUUACUUACCGUUGCUAGCUUUAAUUAAUAAAGACACACGGGUCCCAUUAAUGUCAUUUUUCUCUAAAAUUUUCUUAUUCUUCUUCUCCCCCACUUAGAUUGACCAUAUACUCCUCUUUCAUGGAAAACUUCAACACUAAAUAUGUCAAGCCUAGCUCUACAAUAUGUUUAUUAUGCCAUUCUUACAUAAGAACGCAUGUUUGCUUGGGUAUCUUGGAAAUCGUUAAAGGACAGCAAUAUACCAAAUGGUACAAUUAAGAUGAAUUAAGCCUCGAACUAGACCAAAUAGAGAUUUAAAGAUGAAAAUGAGAAUUUUAAAACCCCAGAAUGACUUAAAAUGGUGAUUCGGAGUUUGAGGACCGAUUUGGAGUUAAAUUGGAAGUUUCAUGACCCAAUGGCAAAAUGGUCAUUUUGCCACCCAAGGUUAUAAUUGGAAUGUUGGAAGAAGUUUUUGAUCAAGAUUGACUAUUUAGAACAUAAAUUGAGUUUGAGAAGUGAAAAAUUUUAAUUUCGACAUUUUUUCGACCAUAGGGGCAAAAUAGUCAUAUUGCCACCCUAGGGGCAAAAUUGUAAUUUUACACCACCCAACACUUGUCCAGCACAUGGAUUUUACCCAAUAUUAUCAUGGAUAAUUGAGGAAAUUUAAGUGGUGGAGAGAGAUUGCCUAAUGGGUAAGUAUGACACAUGGACCAAUGGAAUGGUAACAUGUGUCGAAUUCUUAUCCAUUUAUUAUUUUCCUUAUAAAUUAGCACAAAAUCAGCCUAUUUCUCUUCAUAUGGCCGGCCAAAGGAAGAAAAAAAACCCUAGGUCGAAAAAUUCAAGGGAAAAGUGUGAAAAUUCAAGGAAACAAGUGACAAAAGGUAAGAUUUUUCAAUUCUAGCUUGUGAUCUACCUUUCCCAUACAUUUUUUUGCAUUUUUCACGGUUGAAUCACAUGAUUUCAUGAUGGGUAUCUUGCUAGCUGAACACUUAGAGAGAGGUUUUGAUGCUUGAUUUGGUUAGAUUUUAAGAUAUUUUAGUGUUUUUAGUUAGUGAUGUGUAGCAUGAAAAGCCAACAAGAAAAAUUCAUGUUCUUCCAUCACCCAUCAUUGGCCGAAUUCUCCAUGUGGAAUAUUGAGGAUGAUUUUGAUUUUAUUUUAAGUUAUUUGGUUAAGAAUUAGUGAUUUAUGAUGUGAGAAUCAAGUAGGAAAAAUUAUAGUGUUGAUGCACCCACCAUGGCCGAAUUAUCCAAGAGAAAAUGUGAGAAUGAUUUUGCCAUAUUUCAAGUUAUUUAACUUGUGUUUGAUGGUUUGGAGAAUUGGAAGAAAAAUGGAGUUAAUUGGAGUUGAAUUGGACGUAUUGGCCAAUUAAUCGGAUGAUAGAUCGAAUUAGGCCAAUACCGUUUUAUUUAUGUACAUAAUUGAAUUUAUAUGGAACAUCGUAUUUAGAUAGUUACCCGAGUAUUUCACAUCCCAUUUCAUGCAUUAGUAUAGAGCCUGAAUUGGUUUUAUAACAAUUUAGCACAAAUGUAGUAAAUGGCUUAUUGUGCAUUAUGUCUAGGUGGUGAGCAUUCUGGCAAAAGUAAAGAGAUAGUACCCGAGGAUCAAGAAUUGGAGUACUCGGAAUUUGACUCCCUAAAUAAUGAGUAACCUUACUAUCGUCUUAAUUAUCUAAAGUGAUUUUUAUCCGAUUUUGUGAUUUUAUGGAAAAUGAGUUUAAAUGGUAAAUUUUUAGGUUUUAUAAACAAAAUGUGUUAAAAUGAAAUGAUUUUAUAAAAUUGUCUUGAACUUGAAUGAUGGUUUUGAAAAUGGAGUAAUUGGAGACUAAUUGUUGUGUUCCAAAACAUGGUUUGAAUUGAAUGGCUUAUGAUAAUAUUUGCAUGAAUGGCUGAAUUGGUAUUUGUGUUGAAAAUGUAUGAACAGUUAAUUUGCCUUGAGAGGUUGUAAAAUAAAAUAAUUGUCAUGUCAUGCUACUGAAUUUUUAUUGUAUGAUGGGUUAUAAAUUAGUCGCUAUAAUGGACGAGUUCCGUGGACUAGCCUAUUAAAGGGGGCACGGUAACCCUAUUAUAUUCAUACCUCAAUAUGAGAGGCGCGGAUGGAUAACUCCUGAUGUUAACACUUUAAAGUUCACUUCACGACAAACCACCACGUAAGGGUGAACUCAGCCAAUGCCAAGGAACGGCUAUGUUUUCAAAAUAAAAACAUGAUUUAUGCGUACAUAACUUUUUAAAAGCCUUGGUGGACUCGGUUGGGAUAGCCCUCGAUCAAGGUAUCCCUGAUAACUGAGUAUGAGAAUGAUUUUGGCACGAGCCAAAGUUUUAAGAAAUUCAUAAGCCAUGUUGAUUACUCGAUUUAUAUAAAUUGAUUUUGUUUGGUUGAAACAAGUCGAAAGGUGAUGAAUUACAGUAUGUUAAACUAUUUUAUCUGUCUCCAUUUACUCGGCUUUAGAUAUUUUAGAUGGUAUUUGUUUACUCACAGGGAUUAUAUAAUCUCACCACCCUCCUCUCCACCCAUUUCAGGCUUAGAAUAGGCUGUAGAUAGCUGAUUUCAUCGAGGCUACCAUUGGAUUUGCAUCCUCCAAACUGUAGGUUCACAGUGUUUCUUACUUUUGGUUAUUCGGGGGCCCACUGGUUAUUGUAAAUUAAAUUAAAUGCUCUGGUUUACUAUAUUACAGUAUGUAUGAAUUUAUUUUGCUUUUACGCUGCAAAAAAUUAUUUACGUAUAACUCUAAAAAUAUUAUUUUAUAAAAAAAUAAAAUAUUCUAUUAAAUAUAUUUUUUAUUUUUUUAUUAUAUCCAAAUAAUCAUAAUUUCAUUUUAAAUGAAGGUUAUAGACAUUCAAACUUAUUUUUUAUUAUGAAUUAUGUGUUUUAUACUCACAUACUACAUUUUUAGCUGGUUUCGAAAUUUUUGAGAAAAAAUGAACAAAAUGCCCCUGUGAGAAAAAAAUUAUUUUUCUAUUGUUUUGAUUUUGAAAUAGUUUAUAAUCCCUCAAAACAUGAUUUUAGUAACUAAUACUCACAGAGGAAGCGAGAAAAACUGAUGUUAAGCCUUGCGAGAUUUCGAUUGACAUUCCGGUUAAUGAAUGUUUAUCGAGACGUCACGACGAUUGUCACGAGCUAGAUGGGAGUUCCAAGUCGUGACAAAAUAAAAUAUUAAUAUUUUAUUAAUAUUUUAUUAAUAAAAUAUUAUUUUAUUUCAAAAUUUUUCUCUUGUCUCCUUGGUAUCCAAAAUACCUUAUUAUGCCUCAAUUCACUUCCGAAUCACUUUUUAUCUCACAAAUUCUUUUCCGAUAAAAAUAUUAUUGUUUUAUUAUUAUUUCCUCGCGUGAGGAAUAUUUUAUCCCAAACUAUUUCAUUCAUCUUUCAUCACUUUUUAAACAUUAUAAUUAACCUCAAUUGGCAUCGGAUAAGCUUUAUUAGCCACCAUGUCAAAGUACGGGGUAUUACAGUCUCCCCCACUUAAAUAGAAUUUGUCCUCGAAUUCGUGUCGGUGUCGGGUUAUUAAUCUCAUUCUAUGAUCUUAUUCCAUCCUUUCCUUUAUAGGGAAUAUUGAUUUAUUCACCUCAUUUACCUCUAGUUCAACUGGAAUACUUUAUUUAUGUCUGUUAUCAUCUUUUAGAAUCAAUUCGGCAGUAACCUUCACAAACAUUAUCUCUCAUAGUAAAACGUCAAGUAUGCCUUUAUCACCAUCACUGGAAUUGAACCAUAACUCCGUCUCAAUCAUAUUGAUUUCAAUCACAUGUUAUACUUACUUAUAUAUACCUAAUUGCCAUCUUAUUACUCCAUUCCUUGUCAAAGUUCUCGACACUCAUUCACUUUAUCCCCAUACACUAUUACAUAACUUAUGGCAUCAUGAACAUGCCCUAUUCAUUCCUAUACCUAUUUCCAACAUUUUGGGGAGUUGAAUCUUUCAACCAUUCCUUCAUACUUCAUGUUUUUCCAGUAUUUAUGCAACUUAAGUCUUCUUAAUCAUAUUAGUCCAUCUUGUAUGGCUUAAUCACACUUUAGAUUACACUUUCUUAAUAUCAUUUCUUUGGAUAUUCCUCCAAAAUUUCUUAUAUCAACAUAACUCCAUUUCUGAUGGAAUUUCUUAUCAUUAUAUUAUCCAUACAACUCAUCAAAUAUAUCGAGUUCAAAUCUCAAAUCUCUAAAAAUAGUUCUUCAUUUUAGUUGGUCACAUCGUCAAUUCCACACAUAUGUAUGUACACACACUUCUAAAUGUCAACAUUCCUCAUUAUGUGUAAGGAUAUUUGUGUUCAAGUGCCUUUGAACUAAGUUUCCCUUUAUUUGUUUCCUAUCCAUAACCAAAAUUUGAUAUAAUAAUUCUCAUAUUUAAUCUAUAAACAUUGGGGUACAAUCAAUUUUAGAUUACCCUUUUUAUAUGUUUAACUCACCAUUCCACUUGCCUCUUACCACAAGUUACCUCUUACAUAAUCCAUACGAAUUCUCAUUAUGCCUAUGCAUAACUUCACAUCAUGUACAUGCCUAUACUGCUUUCUUAUCCUUUCCAAUUAUAUGCUUAAGUAUCAUUAUACUAUAUAUCCUUGUUGUGCCUCAAUUUUAAUGAGUCACUUAAGACUUAGACUCAUUCGAAUCAUGCAUGUUUCAAGCAUUUUUGAAUUUCAAUUUCCAUCAUAUAUUAUGAGGUUUUCAUUAUCUGACUUCAUUAUCAAGGUUGCCUUCACUCAUCCUUUGCUCUAUUCUUUCAUACUAAUAUAACAUCAUUCUCCCAUAGGCCAUUUACAAUAUGUACUUGAAAUUACAAGACUUAAAACAAGGCUCUUCUCACGUAUUUCUUAAUGUCAAUGUGAAUAUCACUUUUAGCUUAUGGCGUCCUUUUUGUAACCACACAACUUAAUGCUUGUUUUCACAAGAUUCAUAGUAGGAUUCCUUUUGAGUAUUUCCUUGCAGAUACCCACCUUAAACUUUAUGUCUCACGUCUCACCGCACAUGAUCACAUAACCCGUGGUUUAGCCGUUAGGCUCCUUAGCAAGUUUCAAAAUCCCACAUGUUAUACUAGCCACUUAUCAUUGGUAAUUCCCUUUCAAGGAUGUUUAUACAUUCCUGAAACACUUAAUCACUUAUUUGCUCUUUAACAUCCCGAGCAUAUCAUUCCAAAAACAUGCACUUAUUCUCCAAGAUAUGUAAAUGCAUACUCAUCUAUUCCUAUUUCAAUUUAUCCUCAUGGGUUUCUAGCAUGCCACAUAAUUGGCCUUGUAUUGUUAUUAAUCCUCUUCAUUCAACUAAAUCAAGACAAGAUUUGUAAAUUUUCAUAGCAAUACUUUAUAUUAACUCAUUUGCUAUGCCACCCUUGUAAUUCUUUAUUCACAAUUUCAUCACUUGGUAUUGACAUCCCUUGUCAAUGUCUCAUACAAUCAUCUAACCUUUCACUCACUUUUUCCUUAGCCUUUAACAAGGCUUAAUCUCUUGUCUUUUUCAUUUCUUAGGAUUUGACUUUGUCAACAUAUUAUUCAUUUUAACACUCCACAUGGUAAUUUAUCUUAAUGUAGCCAUCUCAAGAACUCUUUAACUCUUCUUUUUCUUACAUGUCAAUAUAUAAGGCAUUAAAGAAACCUUUCAAUUCCCUCAUAUAAACACUUUUCCACGUACUUAAAACUCCAAAUAACUAAGCCCAACAUCAAGACCAAUGACGAUAAUUCAACUUGUGAGUUUCAUCUUCAUACCACUCACAAUUUGCUCACGCUUCCUAGCCAUGAGAGAUUCUUAACACGAUAGUGUUGGGCAAUUAGCGCUGCAGUGUUGCAACUACUGGAAUUUUUACUUUAUCGAAGUAAUUCUUCUACCUUUAAGGCUACGGCACCAAUCAUUCUCAACCGCAUGGCUUCCAUUUAAGCCUAUACCAUAAUUUCCAUCAUCAUGUGUAUCUUCAUUUUGCUUAUCAUAUGCAUUAGGCCAAGUCAAUACCUUCAACUCAUAUUAUCCUUUAACACUCAUCAUCAAUCAUUAAGUCCCACCUUAAGACAUCCUCUCCAUAUUGUGUAAUGACUUCACAAGAUAUAUAUACAACACCACACACAUAACUACUCAUUAUUUAUGACAUCCCACAAUUCCUAUCAUCCAUAAUUAAUUGUCUUUCUUGUCUUGUAACUCAAAUAGUUUAUUGACAUUUCAGUAUAAACGGCCAUGAAAAUAGUUCAUCUUUUCCACACUUUAUACUUGCAAUCCUUACUAAUCAAUAAUUCAUCUUCCUCAAGUUCCAUCAUUUACCCCCAAUGGUCUAUAUUUAUGCCAAAUUAUCAAUUUAUAAUGUCAUGGCACCAUGUGCCUCCAUUCUUACCACCAAUCAUACUUUAUAAGAAAUAAUUAAAAGACUUACACAUCCUUUUCUUCUUUUAUACAUUGCACAACUUUUUUGGACCUACCUACACACUACAGAUAUGAAGUACCUUGUAUUUUGAUACAAUGGCUAAUAAAGUUUAUGGAUGCCAAUUUAGGUUGAUUACUAAGUUAGAAGGGUAAUUCAGAAGUGAACCUUUGAAAUCUCGAUCUCCAUAGGCACAUAACUAGAAGUAGACGCGAUAAUGCAGACCGAGGGUAAUUUCAUAAUUUCUCUUAGUGAGCUCCUACGAGUGGUUUUUUUUUAUGCUAUUAAGGUAUAAAUAGGCCUAAGGAAUGAAUGAAUGAUGUUUAUGAUGGAAAAUAAAUGAGGAAGAUAAAAAUAAUGAUAAUUUCCACGAUAGAGGCAAAAUGCUCAUUUUGCAUCUCGAGUCUAAAUUUUUAAGUUUUGUGAACUCGAGUACCUUUAGACUAUUAUGGACUUUGUUUCGGUCUCAAAAGAGUAAAAAGGUUGCACAAAGGAUGGGAGGAAGACAAAACCACCAUGUUAAGGGCAUUUUGGUAAUUUUGACGAAAAUUUGGAUUAACUUGAAGCAUAAAUAUUUGAGCUCUAGCAGCUUCCAGCAGCUUCUCCUUUUUCUUCUUCUUCCCUUUUCUACGUUCCUUUAAUCCUCCAUGGAAGCUUGCUUUGCAACUUCCAUAACUUUCUCUCUCUAGCUCCAAUUUUUAUGCUUUUGUGCACUUUUUCAUAGAACCUUUGUGCUCUUUCACUCUCUCACCUUAAAACCCUUAAAAAGUCUUGGUUCAACACUUUCUCUCACUAGUUGAAAAUUUUAGAGAGACAAAAAGAGAGACUUUCCAUGAUAGCUUGAGUAUUCUUGAAAAAGAAUUCAACUACAAAUCCACCAAGGUGAGUAAUGAAUGAGGACUGAUUUUAGGUUGUUGAUAAUGGCUAGUAAUUAGAGUUGUGAGUUAUUUUAUUAUUAAGGUUUGUUUAUUUAUUUCUAGAGUUACUAGAGUAGAAAGAAUAGAUAGCCAUUUAAUGGCAAUUGGAAGCUAGUUAGGAAUAACUAGUGGAACUUGAUUAAGAAAGAGCUUUUGGAACUAUAUUAAUGCCAAUUUGGGUUGGUUGUGAUGUUGUGUGUGUGUAGGUUCCAACAAGGCCUCACAUGUCCAUUUGGAGCAUUAGUUAAGGUUAGAGUCAAGCAAAAGAAUUAACAUGACCAGUGAGUUAACUUGCAUUUCAAAAUUGUUUUGGGAAUGUGAAUGUAUUGAACAAAACCUUUGAAUGAUUUUAUCCAACUUUUCUUAAAAAUGGGUGCCUUGGGAACAAGCCCUUAAUAAAUUGUCUCUAUAUUGUGACUUGUGGCUGUUAUGGAUUCAUGCACUAUUACAUUGUGUUGGUAUGCAUAUUUGAAUGUAUGUUGUGCAAUGAUAAAUAAUGUUCUAUGAUGAUAAUGAGGUGUGCGAGUAGGGAGUGCACACAUGAUGACAUUGAAUUGUGCGAGUAGGGAGUGCACAUAUGGUGGUAUUGACUUGUGCGUGUAGGGAGUGCACAAGAGCUGAGGAAGGUGGGGUGGUGUAGGUGUUAUAUAUGAUUAUAUCUAUAGAUAUGUGAUAGAAUGUGUGUGAUUGUAAAAUGUGAUUGUAUGGCAAGUUGAAAUUGGCAUGAUGAACCUUGAGAAUUUUCCAUUUUCUUGCAAAUUGAUUUUUAUUGCAGCACCAAAUGGAUUUUUAGCGCAAAGGAGGUCCUUUUUACACUUAGGUGCCCUGCUUCUCGCUACAGUGAGAAACAUUAUGUUUUGGCAGCCAACAACUUGCUUCAGCGAGAAUAAAUCUCACUGCAGGGAGAAACUCUCAAGUUCUGAUGCAGUGCUUUCACUUUGAUAAAGCUUUUGACCACCUUUCUUUCGGAACUGGAAAAAGUGGUAAACAUAAAAGUUGUAUCCCUUUCUCUUAGCUUUCUAAUGGUCUAAAAAUCAGGUCAAUUGGACUUCUGUAAUAGGUGAUAUGAUAGAAAAACUAAAACACAUGCAAACAACACUAUUUCUUGCUGCAGCGAGAAUGAACUUCGCUACAACGAGAAACUUGCUGCCAUGCUUGCUACCUUACUUGAUUUUGACCUAUUUUUCACCCGUUUAAGUUCAUGAAUUGAUCAUGGGUUUGUAAAACACUAUGAGGGUAUUAAUCAAAGUUUGAAAUGAGGAGUUUUUAGUAAGAAAUUAAAUCAAGUGCAUUGUUUUUUAAACAAGUGCAUCAUGAUUUCCAAAUUCUUCUUAUCGAUUGCUUGGUCCCUUCUUAUGUUCACUCACUGAGUUUUAUACUUACAUUUUUAAACUUCAUGUUUUCAUAUUCGAAGGCAAGUUGGGACCUAGAUAUAGUCGCACAUAUAUGCUCGCCUUCUUGGUAGGCACUAUGGUAUUUCAGUAGCUGUACCUUCACCCACGGUCACUCCACUAACGGUCAAGAGUCUUAUGCUUGUGUACAUGUAUAAGUAAUGAAGACCAAUAGGAUUCAUGUUAAAAAUCAAAUAUGUAUAUUUGAUUACUAUUGCCACUAUAAGGUGGCAAAUUGGUGAUACUAUGUUAGCAUAAUACAAAUGUGAAUAUUGGAUUGCUAUAAAAUGUUACUGAAAUAUUUGUAAUUGAGAAUUGUAAUAUGUGGUUUUAGAAAUGACGGUUGAGAAUGAUGAUUAGGAUUGGAUAAAAAAAAAGGGCUUGCUUGGGCUUAGUGGGCUAUGCCCAUUGGGCCCAUACGCCGAUCAUGGCUCGGGAUUUGGGUUGUGACAAAUGUGGUAUCAGAGCUAUAGGUUUAGUCCAGUCCUAAGGAUUUUCGUGUCAAUCAGCGGAGUUGUCAGAGUUAAUGUAGAGUCUUGUCUAUCGUUUGUGACUACAGCACAAGUCAUAGACAGGAAGCUAUAUGAACUCCUAUUCCUAGUAACCUACCCUUUUGCUAUCGUCAUGUAAAAGGCAUAAAUGGUAUCGCUGCUCGGGUUUGAGAUGCCACUCGAGACACAAACCAUUAUUGGAAAGAUUUUUAAGCAAGUGCUCCUAAUGAAAGGUUAACAUAAUGAUAUAUUCCUCUAACUAAGGAUGGAGGAAGGUGGAGUUGGACUGUUAUGUCCGUAAUAAUUUAUUUAUUUGGUGGAAUUAAGAUUCGAACCCAUGGUUAUCAAAAAAAAAUUAAUUAAAAUUUUGGAGACUAUGGAUUGUAUUUGAGGUCCAUAUAGGGAGGAUGUACGAUAAUGGUAAUAAAAGCAGUAUUUGAUUGGAAUGAAUAGUGAAUGUUAUGACUCACUUGAGGUUUAUAAAUUUAAAUAUUGAGAAAAGUGUAAACCAAUGUUUAUGUGCAUGGACGUAAGUGCACUAUGUUAAUUGAGCUUGACAUGCCCCUAUAGAAAUGGUGUGGGCUUUUGAAAUAUUUUAUAAGCGUAUAAGUGUUGAAUAUGUGUAUAGUAGCUUAAAUAGGGUUGGUUUUGAUUCUAAUUAAGUAAUUGUGAGAUUCUAAGUCUUGAAUUGAAUUAUUAUGGUUUAUAGUUAUAAUUGCAUGAAUUAGCUCAAGGGUGAAAAUCACUGAUUAUUACAAUUGAUGUAUGGUUGUGAAGUAAAAGGCUAGUAAAUGAUCUACUCUAAGGAUGAGCUUGAAUUUUGCUAUGCCUAGUGUGGAGCCAAAGGAUUAGAAGACUAGAUGUGGAUUUAGCAGUUUGAAAUUAAAUGACAUGGAAAUGACAAAUUUAGUCUAAGUGCCAUAUCGAGUUCUAUAUGAAGAUCGAUAUAUAAAUUGCUUUAAAGGUCCAUUUAAAAAUAUGUUUGGUUCGAUAUGCAACCUAUGAUGUAAAUGAUUAGUCUUGAAUGUGACUUCUCCAUAGGUCAGGGACUUAAAACAUGUAGAUUUUCGGAUAUGCUCUAAGAGGAAGCUUCUGCAUCCUAAGCUUAAGAAAUUUUGAUCUUAUGACUGCAAAGGCAAGAUACAAAAAUUAUGUGAAUUGUCUAUCUUAUGGAUGUAAUUGGUUAAGAAUUGAUGAGUAAAGUCAAGAUCUGAACACUACGUGGUGUACAAUUUGAUAUAUGUGUACCUAGGAGUAAAUUUGGAGAUCAUUGCUUAAUCAAUUUACACUGAAUGGUGUGGUAAAGGUAUAUGAAUGUUGGUAGUGAAGUAUGUCCAAAGUGAGAUAUGUGGAGAUUAAUGUUCCGAUCACAAACUUGUGAUAGAAAGCUAGUUUUGUAAAUUGUGGUUUUUAUGACCAAGAAAUAUAUGGAGGUUACCAAUAUGUAAGCCUACACUCGAAGUUGUAUAUCUUGUGAUUCGCAUUCAUUGUAUGGAAGGAGAUAUUCCAUAAAAGGAUUUGGCCUAAUUGGUGAUUACAAGACUAUAGGCUUGGUAUGAGAUUAAGAAUGAUUUAACAUGUAUAAGAAGUGUGUUGCGAAAGGCUGAAAGUCAUUAAGACGAAUGAUGGGUGAAACAUAGGUGUUGUUAGGAUGAGCAUAAAAAGCUCAAGGAUAAUCAAUGCAAUUAUAUUAAGUUAGUUUGGUUCGGUUCGAAAUAAAAGUAAAGACAUCUUGAAAGAUCUUAAAAUAAUGUUCAAUGGGGUUAAUGAGCUAAAUGUUAUCGAAUAUAUAUUAAAUUGUUAAAGUUAUGCGUGGCUUUGAAGAUAAGCCUUUGAUUGUCUAAGUCCUCAACAAAAUUCUAUUAAAGGAUGUGUUUAAGCAUUUUGCAAGUAUAUCGAAAAACAUAAGAAUAAUAUAUUAGUUCGACUUCCUAUAAGAGGUCGAAUUUGGAUGGCCAUGAGUGAUUUGUGAACAAUCAAGCAGUGUAAAGUAUGUGCUCAUAAAGGGAGCUAUGAUUGGUAAAUAAAGGUGGAACUUUAGAAUUUCAUUGUCAUAGUUAUUAGAUUAUAUUUUGUAUUAUAUGAUAUAGUGUAGAACAUCAAUGAUGAGGCUUUGUUCAAUGCUUUAGGCCUUGAACUGUAAGAUAUGGACAUGUAUCCACCUUGUGAAUACCCUGAUGAGAUAAAUUCGAAAGACUUUUCACAAUGAGAAAAUAUUAAAACUCAAAGAGCAAAUGGCUAUACAAUCAAGUUGGGCUCGUGACUGACAUGUCACAUAAGUAUGACGAUAUGAUACAAGCAUAAGUAUACUUGGAAAUGCUGGUUUAAGGCAAUGAUUAUCCUACCGUUUUGUGGACCCGAUGAGGUUCUGGUCUUGACAUAAUUAUAGACGCAAGGCAUAAAUUAUGAAAUGUGCUUCCGUCACAAGUUCCAAUUUAUUUUGAGUAAUUAUCAAGGUCAAGUGCUUGGUAAGGAUAGGCAAAGGUUGAAUUGUGUUUAAAAUGUUUAGAGAAUGAGGGUGACAUGGUUUGAUUAAAUGAUACUACCCUUGGUAAGGGAAUAGAAAUAUGCUACAGAAAUUGCAGAAAUCUACUUAGAAAAGAUAUGAUGAUUUGAGAAUUCAUGUACUCAUAUACGAGUAAAGAUUUGGUAAUGAGACAUGACCUAAAGUUGGAGUACUACAAUAUGAAUUUUGACUAAGAAAAUCGACUUAUAAAACACAUGGUGUUUAGAGAUGGAGCCAAUUAGUGGUUGACUCUUGUAUGAGAAUGGAAUAUUGAAAUCAACUUUCUGUAUUCACUACAAAUGAUGAGCAUGAUCUAACCAACCAAGAGAAGAAAUGAUUCUAAGCUUGAUUGUUGGUUAUUUUGGUUUUACAAAUGGCUUCUUGAGCUUGAUAUGCCUAAGGCUAUUCGAAGUUAAAAUUUUUGGAAAUAUAUAUGUAUGGAUAUAUAUGUUGCAUAUUGGUAUAAAAGCUCAUGUGGAGUUAUUUAUAAUUUCAUUCAAUGAUGAUAUUCUAUCAAUGGUUAUAGUGCUAGACAAUGAUUAAGAUAAUUUAUCACUGAUUUUGGCUGUGAACAAGUGGAUUAUAAUGCUGUUAGCUUAAAAAUAAGUGUUUAUACUUUUGGUAUGAGUUCAUCAAAUUCUAUUAUAUUGUGAUAAAACUUGGUGUUUUGAUAUAGCCUGAGACGCUUGGCAUAUGAACUAGCUUAAUUAUCAGCUAGAAAUUGUUAGGUUAUUAUGAAGUACACAAAUAUAGAAGUAUGACAUGAAUUUAAUAUCCUAAGGGGCAAUGGAAAAUGAUGUAUCAGUUUUGGUAUAGCUUCAAUAUAUAUAGUUUUGAUAUAUAAAGAUGUGGGAAAAAGUUUAUAGCUUAUGCAUAAAGGUGUGCAUUUGAAUUCGUAUAAUUAAAAGUGUAAAAUCUGCCUUGAUUGGUAUAAAACUCAUGAUUCAAAAUGAAUGAUUAUGGAUUUAAUUUUCUAAGGUAAAAAGGACUAAAAGAAGUUAAUAUUAGAAAGGUCUUAAUAGAUGAUUCUUUGAUUUUAAAGUACACUUAAAGAGAGACAAGUAUCUAAUUUCAUCCUCGGAUUGAUAAACUAAUGAGGCCAUGAGAUCUGAUGUUUGGGGUAAAUUUGAGAAAUAUCAAGUUAGAUAUGUUGUAGGUGAUUGAUGAUGAGCAAAUUAGCUAUGACAUUGGAAAUAUAGAAAUGAUUAGUAAUCAAAAUGAGACUUGGAAAGGAACUUUAAAGGGAAAAUUUUGAGCAACUUUAAUCUCGAGAGGUUGAGUUAUUGAUUAAAGAGAUUGGUUAAGAUUAUAAAAGGGUAUGUGGAAUGUCAUGAUUUAUUGAAAUGCCUUGUGGUAUAAGUUGAGAUUUAUCUAGUGAGCACUCGAUCAUGAAAGUAUUGGAGUUUGUUUUUGGGAAAAUGGUUACUAAUAGCUACUAGAUUUGAAUCAUCCAUGAUCUUAUAUAUAUCUAAAAUAAACAAAGGUUGUUUUGAUCCUUACAUAUUAUCAAAUGCUCGAAUGGAAUUUGUAUGGAAGUAUGUAAAAUGGAAUAGACGUUGGUUGAUGAUUUAGACCUAUAGUCAAUGGUGGAAUAAAUGCUUAAAUGUUGGAAGGUUUGAUAAAAGGUCGAGGUAGAGGAAUUGUGGAUGGUUAAGUAAACAUGUAUAAUUGAUAAUUUAAGGACAAUUUGAUUGAGGUGUGACCAGAAUUCAUAGCUUAUUUGAAUUCUCUUCAUAAGAUGAAGGAUGAUACUGUUUUGAUCCUACAAUAGUAGUACACAUAACUAUAUACUAUGACAUUGUCGAGUUUUCUAUAACACUAGAAGUUGAUAUGAUGCAUAAACCAAGAUUCUAUGUUAAGAAUGCCUAACGAAAGUGAUGUGGCAGAACUUUAGAACUUUGAUUAUUCACCUUACGUCGAUUUGAAUUCGAGGACGAAUUUAUUUUAAGUGGGGGAGACUGUGGUACUUUGUAUUUUGAUACGGUGGCUAAUAAAGUUUAUGGAUGCCAAUUUAAGUUGAUUACUAAGUUAAAAGGGUAAUUCAAAAGUGAACCUGUGAAAUCUCGAUCUUCAUAGGCACAUAAUUGAAAUAGUCUCGAUAAUGCAGACCAAGGACAAUUUCGUAAUUUCUCUUGGUGAGCUCCUACGAGUGGGUUUUUUUUAUGCUAUUAAGGUCUAAAUAGGCCUAAGGAAUGAAUGAAUGAUGUUUAUGAUGGAAAAUAAAUGAGAAAGACAAAAAAAUGAUAAUUUCCACGGUAUGGGCAAAAUUGUCAUUUUGCAUCUCGAUUCUAAAUUUUUAAGUUUCGUGAACUCGAGUAGCUUUAGACUAUUAUGGACUUUGUUUUGAUGUCAAAAGAGCAAAAAGGUUGCACAAAGGAUAGGAGGAAGACAAAACUACCAUGUUAAGGGCAUUUUGGUAAUUUUAGUGGAAAUUUGGAUUAACUUGAAGCAUAAAUAUCUGAGCUCCAGCAGCUUUCAACAGUUUCUCCUUCUUUUUCUUCCUCCCCUUUAACGUUCCUUUUAUCCUCCAUGGAAGCUUGCUUUGCAACUUCCAUAACUUUCUCUCUCUAGUUCUAAUUUUUAUGCUUUUGUGCACUUUUUCAUAUAACCUUUGUGCUCUUUCACUCUCUCACCUUAAAACCCUUAAAAAGUCUUGGUUCAGCACUUUCUCUCACUAGUUGAAAAUUGUAGAGAGAGAAAAAGAUAGACUUUCCAUGAUAGCUUGAGUAUUCUUGAGAAGGAAUUCAACUACAAAUCCACCAAUGUGAGUAAUGAAUGAGGAUUGAUUUUAGGUUGUUGAUAAUGGCUAGUAAUUGGAGUUGUGAGUUAUUUUAUUAUUGAGGUUUGUUUAUUUAUUUCUAGAGUUACUAGAGUAGAAAGAAUAGAUAGCCAUUUAAUGGCAAUUGGAAGCUAGUUAGGAAUAACUAGUGGAACUUGAUUAGGAAAGAGCUUUUGGAAUUAUAAUAAUGCCAAUUUGGGUUGGUUGUAAUGUUGUGUGUGUGUAGGUUCCAACAAGGCCUCACAUGUCCAUUUGGAGCAUUAGUUGAGGUUAGUGUCAAGCAAAAGAAUCAACAAGAAUGGUGAGUGAACUUACAUUUCAAAAUUGUUUUGGGAAUGUGAAUGUAUUGAACAAAACCUUUGAAUGAUUUUAUCCAACUUUUCUUAAAAAUGGGUGCCUUGGGAACAAGCCCUUGAUAAAUUGUCUCUAUGUUGUGACUUGUGGCUAUUAUGGAUUCAUGCACUAUUACAUGGUGUUGGUAUACAUAUUUGAAUGUAUGUUGUGCAAUGAUAAAUAAUGUUUUAUGAUGAUAAUGAGGUGUGCGAGUAGGGAGUGCACACAUGAUGACAUUGAAAUGUGCGAGUAUGGAGUGUACAUAUGGUGGUAUUGACUUAUGUGUGUAGGGAGUGCACAGAGCUAAGGAAGGUGGGGUGGUGUAGGUGUUAUAUAUGAUUAUAUCUAUAGAUAUGUGAUAGAAUGUGUGUGAUUGUAAAAUGUGAUUGUAUGGCAUGUUGAAAUUGGUAUGAUGAACCUUGAGAAUUUCCCAUUUUCUUGCAAAUUGAUUUUUUUUGCAACACCAAAUGGAGUUUUAGUGCAAAGGAGGUCUUUUUACACUUAGGUGCCCUGCUUCUCGCUACAGUGAGAAACAUUCUAUUUUGGCAGCCAACAACUCGCUACAACGAGAAUAAAUCUAGCUGCAGCGAGAAACUCUCGGGUUCUAAUGCAAUUCUUUCACUUUGAUGAAGAUUUUGACCAUCUUCUUUUCAAAACUAGGAAUAGUGGUAAACAUAAAAGUUGUAUCCCUGUCUCUUAUCUUUCUAAUGGUCUAAAAAUCAGGUCAAUUGGACUUCUGUAAUGGGAGAUAUGAUAGAAAAACUGAAACACAUGCAAACUGACAUUGUUUCUUGCUGCAGCGAGAAACUUGUUGCCAUGCUUGCUACCUUGCUUGAUUUUGACCUAUUUUUCACCCAUUUAAGUUGAUGGAUUGAUCAUGGGUUUUGUAAAACACUAUGAGGGUAUUAAUCAAAGUUUGAAAUGAGGGUUUUUUCGUAAAACCCGACCCUAUAAACACAUGUCAUGACAUACAUGCACUGAGUAGCAUGUUAUUAUGCUAGGAAAGCACCUAAGAAUAGACGAAACCUGGUACCGUACUUAACGGUACACUUGAGUUGAUUUAACCUUGAACUACUUCAAUUAGGAAUCGUAGGAUAAAAUUUAAUAUUUUAUAGUCAAGGAAUGACUAAAAAUGACUGUUCAGAGUUCGAGGGUUUAUUAAGGGUAAAAUUGAAAAUUUUGAUGUUCAGGGGUAAAAUUGUCAUUUUGCCACCUAAGAUAAUAAUUUGAUAAUGGAGUGAAACUUUUGACCAAGAUUAACUAUUUGGAGUAUAAUUUAAUGAUAGGAAGUGAAAAAUUUUAAUUCUGGUGAUUUUUGGAGUGUAGGGGCAAAAUCAUAAUUUUACCACUCGCGGACAAAAUUUGAGAUUUUGAGAGAAUUAAGAUCAUAUUUAACAAAUUGGAGAAUGGUAUGAGUAUAAGGGAUGAAAAAUAUGUCUAUGGGCAAUUUUUCAAUUUUUUAGGCAAAAAUGUAAUUUUUCACUUUUACGGGGGCAAAAGUGUAAAUUUCAAAAGUUACUCCACCGAGACUUUGGAUAAGUCUGAGAAUUUUAUCUAAGCUAUGGAUAUGUGGGACAAGUGUAUGGUGAGAAUUUGGAAACAAAUGGAUGAAAUUUUAAAAAUGGGCCAAUGGGAAAGUGACAAGUGGCAUUUUUUAAUGAUAUAAUAUUAUUUUAAUGAAAAGUCAGCCCAUUUAAACCCCAUUUUAAGUGCUGGCCAGCCAUAAGGAAGAACAAGAGAGGAAAUAGAGAGGAAAGGAAGAAAACAAAGAAAACAAAGGGAAACUAGAAAAAUUCAAAGGAGAAUUCGCGUUUUUCGCCCGUUUACGCGUCUAACAGUAAGAUUUUUCGAGUUUUGCUUGAUUUCUACCUUUCCUAUGCCUUUGCUUCCAUUUAGCAUGCUUGAGGAGAGAAAUCUAAAAGUGACAUCAAGGGCUGGACAAAAUUCUAGGGGAGAGAAAUUGAAAUUUUUGGGUUUUGAUUUUUAGUUAAAUUGAUAGUUUUAGUUAGUUAAAUGUGUUUAGAAAUUAAAUUGGGCAAGAAAGCAUUAAAUUUUCACAAUACCCACCCUUGGCUGAAUCUGCAAUGAGGUACAAUGAUGAUAAUCUGAUAUUUAUUCUAAGAGAAAUGAAGAGAAAAUGAUGAAAAAUGGUUAAAUGUGAUAGAAAAACAAAGUGAAAAAUUNNNNNNNNNNNNNNNNNNNNNNNNNNNNNNNNNNNNNNNNNNNNNNNNNNNNNNNNNNNNNNNNNNNNNNNNNNNNNNNNNNNNNNNNNNNNNNNNNNNNNNNNNNNNNNNNNNNNNNNNNNNNNNNNNNNNNNNNNNNNNNNNNNNNNNNNNNNNNNNNNNNNNNNNNNNNNNNNNNNNNNNNNNNNNNNNNNNNNNNNNNNNNNNNNNNNNNNNNNNNNNNNNNNNNNNNNNNNNNNNNNNNNNNNNNNNNNNNNNNNNNNNNNNNNNNNNNNNNNNNNNNNNNNNNNNNNNNNNNNNNNNNNNNNNNNNNNNNNNNNNNNNNNNNNNNNNNNNNNNNNNNNNNNNNNNNNNNNNNNNNNNNNNNNNNNNNNNNNNNNNNNNNNNNNNNNNNNNNNNNNNNNNNNNNNNNNNNNNNNNNNNNNNNNNNNNNNNNNNNNNNNNNNNNNNNNNNNNNNNNNNNNNNNNNNNNNNNNNNNNNNNNNNNNNNNNNNNNNNNNNNNNNNNNNNNNNNNNNNNNNNNNNNNNNNNNNNNNNNNNNNNNNNNNNNNNNNNNNNNNNNNNNNNNNNNNNNNNNNNNNNNNNNNNNNNNNNNNNNNNNNNNNNNNNNNNNNNNNNNNNNNNNNNNNNNNNNNNNNNNNNNNNNNNNNNNNNNNNNNNNNNNNNNNNNNNNNNNNNNNNNNNNNNNNNNNNNNNNNNNNNNNNNNNNNNNNNNNNNNNNNNNNNNNNNNNNNNNNNNNNNNNNNNNNNNNNNNNNNNNNNNNNNNNNNNNNNNNNNNNNNNNNNNNNNNNNNNNNNNNNNNNNNNNNNNNNNNNNNNNNNNNNNNNNNNNNNNNNNNNNNNNNNNNNNNNNNNNNNNNNNNNNNNNNNNNNNNNNNNNNNNNNNNNNNNNNNNNNNNNNNNNNNNNNNNNNNNNNNNNNNNNNNNNNNNNNNNNNNNNNNNNNNNNNNNNNNNNNNNNNNNNNNNNNNNNNNNNNNNNNNNNNNNNNNNNNNNNNNNNNNNNNNNNNNNNNNNNNNNNNNNNNNNNNNNNNNNNNNNNNNNNNNNNNNNNNNNNNNNNNNNNNNNNNNNNNNNNNNNNNNNNNNNNNNNNNNNNNNNNNNNNNNNNNNNNNNNNNNNNNNNNNNNNNNNNNNNNNNNNNNNNNNNNNNNNNNNNNNNNNNNNNNNNNNNNNNNNNNNNNNNNNNNNNNNNNNNNNNNNNNNNNNNNNNNNNNNNNGGCCACUUGUCAUUGUAACUAUUAUUGUACAUUAUAACUUUGUAAAUUUUUGUAUGUGUGAAUUUAUUUUACUUACACGUUACAAAAGAUUUCUUACACGUUACAAAAGAUUUCUUACACGUGUUUCUAUAAAUAUUAUUUUAUAUAAAAAAAUACUAUAUUUUAAUCAAUAUUUUGAAUAGUGAUAUUUAUCUAUAAAUCCUUUUAAAAUAUUUUUGUCUUUUGAUUUACUUGAACAGGAAACUACUGGAAAUAGUUUAAAAUGGAAUGUUUAAGAACGAUUGCUCACAAAAAAGGCAAGAAACUGAUAUGUAAGCCUUACGGGGUUCUGAUUGGCAUUUCGGGUAAUGAGUGUCAAUUGGGACGUCGCGACGGUUGUCAUGGGCUCGAGGGAGGUGUCGGGUUAUGACAUUUUUAGUAAGAAAUUAAAUCAAGUGCAUUGUUUUUGAAACAAGUGCAUCAUGAUUUCUAAAUUCUUCCUAUCGAUUGCUUGUUCCGUUCUUAUGUUCAGUCACUGAGUUUUAUACUCACCAUUUUAAACUUCAUGUUUUCAGAUUCGAAGGCAAGUUGGGACCUAGAUUGAGUCGCACACAUAUGCUCGCAUUUUUGGUAGGUACUAUGGCAUCUCAGUAGCUGUACCUUCACCCACAGUCACUCCACUGACGGUCAAGAGUCUUAUGCUUGUGUACAUGUAUAAGUAAUGAAGACCACUAAGAUUCAUGUUAAAAAUCAAAUAUGUAUAUUUGAUUACUGAUGCCACUAUAAGGUGGCAAAUGAGUG